CGAUAAAAAUAGGAGCUUGUAAAAUGUCGACCUUUGUUUACUCUGCUCUUCUUCUUCCUUCCUUCAGGCGUACUCGGUGUUCAAAAAGGUUGAAUAUGUUGGCUUAAAGACGGCGGUGAAGAGUCAGUUACGAGGAAACAACCUAUUCAGCAUCAGUAGAAAAUUCACUGCCGCUUAAGCAAUGACGGCCAGGAGGAUCUGUUUGUUAUUAAUGACGAUCACAGCUUUUGUGGUCAUUCUGUCACCGAGCCUUAUACACGGAGCAGAAAGAUCAGUGCAUUUCGUAGAAUCUUCUUUCUUUGAUUUCUUCCUGGCACCAAACAUGACCUUUGAUCGAGGAAGUGCAAAAUUUAUUCUCCCAGAACUGAACAAUUGUAAGCAGUCCCUCAUGGAACUUACAUUGUGUGCUAAGGCUUUUCGCUAUUUACUAUUGAGCUGGUACAUUUUCAAAAAGAAAGCCCAUGCUAUUGCAUUAAGAAGUGUGUAGAAAGUUCAUGAUCUAAGCAAGUUUGUCUAAUCAUAUUCAUCGUUCAUAGCAGAAAUGUCCUGAUGCCCAUUUGUUCCUCAGGCAGUUGCCGGUCAGCUUGCUUCACCUUAGGGCAUGGCUGCAAGGCCUGGUCAACUGUUUCUUUGGAGAAUGGAUUGACUGAAUGCCGAAUUGCUGACGAAGGACCCAUGACACUUGUGCCGUACAAAAACGGAAGCUCCACAUACUUCUUCAAGAAAUCAAGUGUACCAGGAACAUACAAAUGGGAAGCAGACAACCUUCUGUACGUCGCAUUAACCGAACAUAUGACUACCGACAAUGCAAGGACCAACUGUUCAAAAAUUCCUGGCCACAGGUUGAUCAUCGUUAAAUCAAAAGAAACCUAUGACCACUUCCUUGCCCGAGCAGUAGGUAAUAUCGAACCAUAUUGGACUAUGGACCUCAUAAAAAAGAAACAUCCACAUGAACUCGUUUGGGGAGAUGGAACGGCCCCCAAUCUGACAAUCGUAACUAUAGAAGUCAGCACUGAUGGAGAAGAUUUUUUUGUAUUGUUCAAUAAUCACACUGAAGAUGUACGCGGAAAUCCCUAUCGAGUGCUUUGCCAAGCAAACCCACUUGGAGUCGAGUGGUAAAGGUCCGCCAUCAGUUUAAAUUUGCUCUAAAAAAUGGAAAACCAGAGAAAGUUACGUGGCCAGCUCAAGAUAUGUUAAAAUCCCACUUGAGAAACAAAGCAAGUAUAUAACCGAUUUGGAAACUGAAUUGGAAUAAUUGUUAAAAUAUUCAGUCUUCAGCCCAUGCGCUCUGAGGUUAUAGCAUUUAGUUAAAAAGCACAAAAACAGGAAAUGAAACUCAAAAAUUCAUAUUUUGAUGACUAAUGCAUGGCGAUAAUAAUUGAUAGUUUUCGAUCCAGAAUGAGAUUCGGAUGUAUAAACGGAAGUCGGCCAUGUUGUAGGUCAACAGUGCUGAGCAAAAGCGACUCACGCAAUCAUGAUAGCAACGAUUUUUCGGAAAUUUGCGAUGAUAUUGUACCUACCAAUCCUUUAAAUAUGGCAAACACUUGCAGUGUGUUUGGAUGUCACAAUAGUUCGAACAGAGACGCCAAAUCGUAUUACUCAGUCCUCGCUGUUGUGAGAAAUCAACGCGAUGUAACUCAAAAGAUGGGUGGGAGGAGGAGAGCGGUGAGGGUGUCCAGGAUCAACAGGGCUCAUUUCCAGCCGACAAAAUAGACGGAAAUCUUCUCAGAUCACUUCAUAAGUGAUGAGUGUUAUCAACUUUUAGUGUCAUUAAUGAUAUUAGUGAAUAAUGAAAGAUUCCUAGGGCAUGAAUUUCACAAAGGAAUUCAUUAACGGCCACUGCGUUCUCUGUCAAACGACAGAUGAUUUAGAGCCGCUAGGAAGUUAUUUUGGUUAAAUCUUUAAAACUAAAGGUAGUGCAUAGUGAAUUACGCAUUUGUUAAAGAUAAUAUUAAUUAUCAAGUGUUAAAAACGGCUAGUGUUGUCGAAAAUUUUCCCCCGACUGGGUAGGUUUUAUGUCCCUAGAUGGGGUGGGACUAUGAUGAUCUAGCCUGAAAUUAAACUAGGUAACUUUAACAAAAUACAUGAACUGAAAGGCGGACUUGCGCCAAAGGACAACUUACAAAAAGAAAUCAACUUUAAAACAACUGACAACGAGGACCCAAAUGCACACAUGAACAAGAAAUUUAAAUUUAAAAAAACCGUGUAAAAAUCCCAUGACAUCAGUCUAAAAGUGUCAUUGUGUCGCUCACAAAAAAACCCUUAUUUGUGCAAUAUUUCACCUAUUCGAUGACCUCAGUAUCGACAUUCACAUGAACUGCAAUAUUGCAUAUGUCCAAAAUCGCAUUCACCAAUUAAAUCUAUGGAGGGAUGUUUAUUAAAUCGCAUCUCCAAGUAUAACAAAGACAACUAUCCCUUUGUUAUUUACAAGUUUCAGUUUAUUCUUAUAUAUCUUUCUCGCACUGCAGGCCCAGAGAUUCAAUUUAUAAAUCUUCCGUUUGUGAAUUGUCCUUGCUUGCCAUGUUUUGUGAAUGGUUCAUAAUUCCUUAGAAUAUCAUCAAAAUUUGAUAUUUCCUUUGUUCACAAUGCUUGACCUAAAAGAUGGCGGCGGCUUAUCAGGUGCUCGUCUGCUGUGACGUCAUAGCAAAACUAUCUGCACUUUAGUCAAUGUUAAAUUAAUGUUAAUAAACAGCCGUGAAUCAACUUAUGCAUUUUUUUAUUAAAUAUUUAUCAAAAUAAACUGGCUGCCUGUUUCAGUCUCCCAGUCUUAUAUAACUUUUAGUUUCGGAAUGGUCACUGUUUCACAGGUUUUACUUUUAUUUUAAUC